CCUACGGGAGGCAGCAGUGGGGAAUAUUGGGCAAUGGAGGAAACUCUGACCCAGCGACGCCGCGUGCGGGAUGAAGGCCUUCGGGUUGUAAACCGCUUUCAGCAGGGAAGAAGCGAAAGUGACGGUACCUGCAGAAGAAGCACCGGCUAACUAUGUGCCAGCAGCCGCGGUAAUACAUAGGGUGCAAGCGUUGUCCGGAAUUAUUGGGCGUAAAGAGCUCGUAGGUGGUUCGUCACGUCGGAUGUGAAAAUCUGGGGCUUAACCCCAGACCUGCAUUCGAUACGGGCGAGCUUGAGUAUGGUAGGGGAGUCUGGAAUUCCUGGUGUAGCGGUGGAAUGCGCAGAUAUCAGGAGGAACACCAAUGGCGAAGGCAGGACUCUGGGCCAUUACUGACACUGAGGAGCGAAAGCGUGGGGAGCGAACAGGAUUAGAUACCCUGGUAGUCCACGCCGUAAACGGUGGGCACUAGUUGUGGGGACCUUCCACGGUCUCUGCGACGCAGCUAACGCAUUAAGUGCCCCGCCUGGGGAUACGAUCGCAAGAUUAAAACUUAAAGAGUAGUAGCGUGNGAGAGCGACGACGACGACGAGGAGGAGG
rnacentral:rRNA from 1 species